CCCUCCUACAGAGGGACGUCCAUGGUUCCCCGCGUUUGGACGCGUAAGAACCGGAGGUAAAGACGCAUGGACUUGGGGAGGUCUGGAGUGGCCUGCUCCCUGCAGGUUCGACAUUAGCCAUCCCACACAG